rnacentral:lncRNA from 1 species
GAAAGAAUUAUAAACUUCGUGUGACUUUUCAAAACAACCCAGUGAGCCCAGUGUUGGCAAAUAGCAGUCAGCCGAGAUAAGCGGCCAUUCUAGGAGCAAAGGCCCUUGUGCCAGGAAAACAAGAACAAGCACGAGCGAGAAGCAGGGCAAUGCAAUCCACAAACACAAUUCAUGCUUUACAGCUGUGUGACAAUGCUUCUUUUGCUUGGACCUCAGGCUCUGCAAACUGCAGCACAGAGGAGGACUUUAGAACAGAAACUUGCUAGUGGAGCAAGAUGAAGGAGGAAAAAGAGCUGGAAGAUGCGUGUCUACACUGAGGGCAGGAUGGAAUCUACAGAGCGCCUCUGCCACUGUGCUUACCGUGUGGUUCCCUUUCUCCCUGCACUUGGAUCAGACACCCCCAACAAUGAGAAUUUAAGCUGGAUCUCCUAGAGGAGUUGGGAUCAAGGUUAUGUACUUGGAGAAUAAGAGAGAAGGACCCAGCUGGGCACGGUGGCUCACACCUGUAAUCCUAGCACUUUGGGAGGCCAAGGUGGGUGGAUCACCUGAGGUCAUGAGCUCCAGACCAGGCUGGCCAACA